rnacentral:misc_RNA from 1 species
GUAUAAGCAAAAAGAAAUAAAAAGAAAUAUAAAAAAAGAGGAAAUGUGGAAUGAAAAUAAUGAUGUUGAGUAAUGUAAAGCUGGGAAAUUGGAAUAGGUAUGGGAAAGAAGGAUAAAUACAUUAAAGUAGGGAAUUUGUGUGUGUAUAGGUAACUCUAAAAUUGGAACCAAUGUUCAAGCGAUCUAUCACUUAUUUGAAAAGGGAUGAUAAGGAUUUGGGGGAAGAAGUGGUGAGGUUUGGGAGAAGUUAUGAAUUUGGAGACAUGACUUGGUAUCCAAGCCAACGUAAAGUUGUGUAUCGUAAGGAUACCCGCGUUUCCUCCAAUACCUCCGGCAAUGGCCUCUAUGACUUUAUCCCAUUUCGC